rnacentral:lncRNA from 1 species
CUUCCUCUUGGCUCCCAGGAGGAGGGAUUCCCUGACUUUGACACACAUGGCCACCUUGGCACAAAAGCCUUGUGGUAUAGAAAAACAAAUUUGUUUUUAUGUCCUCUUCUCCCUUUCCAUCUUUCAGCAUAGACUUAACUCCCUUAAGCCCAGACAUCUGUUGGGACCUGACCCCUAGUCAUUGGUUACCAGUGUGUCAGGCAAUCUGGACUUUCCAGUGAUGCCACUGAGAUGGCACCUGUCAAAAGAGUAGUGGUUCCAUUUCUAGAUUGUAGAUCUUCAGAUAAAUUCUGCCAUUUUCAUUUCACUUCCUGAAAGUCAGGGUCGGCUUCUAAAAAUUUGUUAAACAAUAUGCUAAAUGUGAAAUGUCACCCCUCACUCUAAACUUUCCCCGUUCAGAGCAUCAGAUGAAGACUUCAUUGGGUUUUAUAGUGGCUUUCUGAUUUUUGGUAGUCCAUUGAAGAAGGGAGUUUGAAAGUUGUUGUAUACUGUUAACGAUUAUCUGCCCAUGUCCUGCCUGAAAUACCGUGAUUGUUUAUGGAAAGUAUCUUUAAUAAAGCUGGAUAUAGUUUGGCUUGGAAAA